rnacentral:rRNA from 1 species
AUUGAACGCUAGCGGGAUGCUUUACACAUGCAAGUCGAACGAGUGGCGGACGGGUGAGUAAUAUAUCGGAACGUGCCCAGUAGCGGGGGAUAACUACUCGAAAGAGUGGCUAAUCCCGCAUACUAUUGGAGCGGCCGAUGUCGGAUUAGCUAGUUGGUGGGGUAAAGGCUCCCCAAGGCAACGAUCCGUAGCUGGUUUGAGAGGGCGACAAGCAAAAUUGGGACUGAACCACGGCCCAGACUCCUACGUGAGGCAGCAGUGGGGAAUUUUGGACAAUGGGGGAAACCCUGAUCCAGCCAUCCCGCGUGUAUGAGAAGGCCCUCGGGGUGGAAAGUACUUUUGGCAGAGAAGCGGUAUCUGCAGAAUAAGCACCGGCUAACUACGUGCCAGCAGCCGCGGUAAUUC